AGUUUAAUAGUGUCAUCCAAAAUUCACUUCGUUUUCCAACACCCACAUUUCUUUUCUUUUCUUUUCUUUUUUCUUUCUUUUUUUUUUUUUUUGUCGGUGGCAGGGGAGGCACACCUGUGGCACAUGGAAGUUCCCAAGCCAGGGGCUAAAUCAGAGCUGCUGCAGCUGCCAGCCUACACCAUAGCCACAGCAACAUCAGAUUCGAGCCUCAUCUGUAACCCCUACUGCAGCUCUUGGCAAUACCGGAUCCUUAACCAAAUGAGCGAGGCCAGGAAUUGAACCCUCAUCCUUAUGGAUACUAAUCAGUUCUUAACCCAGUGAACCACAACGAGGCUCCUACCUGUAUUCUUUUUGCUGCAAUUCUUCCUGUGUCAAAUAUCCCUAUACUGACCCAUACGCUCUUUCCAGUUUCAAUUUUCAUUGUUCUCAUCCUUCCAUAAGAAUAGGUAAGGGUCUGUUUUAUGUAAUUGUAUCUAGUUUUAUGCAAUUGUUCCUAGUUAUAUCCAUAUGUGCAUUGUUGUGGUAUGAGGGUGUUUAAUUAUGUGCAAAUACAAAAUCGUUUCCGUAUGUCAGUAUCCAUACAUAUGCCAACAAAUGGAUACGUGUGUACAUGUCUGUGAUUAUAACGCUGCAGAGCUGCACCAUCCCAUAUGAAUAGCCACUAGCAACAUGUGCCUAUUUAAAUUAAAUAAAAUUAAAUUUAAAAAAUUCAGUACCUCUGUAAAACUAGCCACAUUUUAAAUGUUCAGUCAUGUUCACAUGAUGCUAGUAGCUACAUACUGAAUGGAGCAGAUAUAGAAUUUUCCCACCAUCACUAAAAACCUAGCGGAUAAUGCAGCUGCAGGGAUUUCCUUUGCCCUUAGGAUGCAGUUCAGAGUCCAUAAUACGGCUGAUAAAAUCCAGACCUGGCCCUUCCUGACCUCUGUCACUAUCUCUCCUCAUACCUCCCUUCAAACACUGUUCUCCAGGCAUGCUGAACUUCUUUUAGUUCCUUGAGUAUUCUUCGCUCUCUUGACCGGGUUUCCAGCAUACUUUGCUUCCCUCUAGAAUACCCUUGGUAGCAUCACCUGUCUUCUUCCAUUUUCAGCUUCAGAGUCACGUCCUCAGGUAUUUCUCCCUGAUGGGGAGGUUCUGCAGUGGGCAUCCUAUUCUUGCCCUACAUUAAAAGUAAUACUUAAAAAAAAAAAUUCUGGCAUUUUAUUUUUUUAUUUUAUUUUUAUUUAUUUUUUAUUUUUUGUCUUUUUGCCAUUUCUUGGGCUGCUCCACGGCAUAUGGAGAUCAGCCUCAUUUCUGGUCCAUGACUAUGUGAAGACUGUCCUUCAAAUCCCUAACUGAAGGGUCAAAGGGUAUCAUCUCAAGUUGCCAUCAACAGAGGAUGCUUUAUAGACGUGACACAGGAAUCCACCGGUUAGGCUUAAAAGGCUCCCCUCCCUUACCCACUCUUUUUAUCCUCUGCCACCGUGUGCCUAAGAAUGACAUUCCAGUGUAGACCAUACAGCCAUCAGCGUGAGUGUAGACACAGAAUUCAGUGGGUUAGAUGGGCAGAAAGGAAGAAAAAGAGUGAGAGGCAGAAAACGAAUCCAGCAGCAGCAGGUAAGAAGUUAAGACUUACUGGUGUUUCAUAAAAAAAGCCUGAAUCAAGAAGUAGGUUUCCCAGCUGAGACCAGGCUCCUUGGAACAAGAGCAAAUGGAUGGCACAAAGGAGAUCUGGGGACCUCCUCACUUCCAGGUAAACAAACAUAAACUACAAAGCGAAAUCAGAAUGUGUGCCCCCAGGGUUUAUUCUAUGAGUCUGUGCAGGCUUAAUAAAGAUAUCCAGGUCUAAUCCCCAGAAUCCGUGAAUGUUGCCUGAUGUGGCCAGAGAGACUUUGCCGUGGGAUUAAAUUUAGGCUCUUGAUGGGGAGAUUAUCUGGGAUUAUCCAGCUGGGACCUAAAUGCAAUCACAAGUGUCCUUCUAAGAGGGAAGCAGAGGGAGAUUUGACACAGAGUAAGAAGGAAUGUGACCAUUGAAGCAAGAUGCUGGCUUUUGAACGAGAGGAAGAGGCCUUGAGUUGAGGAAUGCAAAGAAUGCAGCUCUAGAAACCAAAAAAGGUAACAAAUGGAGUCUCCCCUAGAGCUUGCAAAGGGAGCCAGGAGCUGCCAGCAUCCUGAUUUGGGGCAUGUAAAACUGAUUUCUGACUUCUGACCCACCAAGUUCACUGUAAUUUGUUACAGCAGCCCUAAGAAACUAAUGCAGGUUUCUUUGGUUGUCCUGAUAAAAGACUUAGAAGUCUUAGCCAUUUUGAAAUGAAGUUGAUAGGGCCAUGUGGUAGGAGUCAAGAUUGUGACCCUAAAGACAGGGACCUGCUAUAUAGCACAGGGAACUCUUCCCAAUAUUCUGUGAUAAUUUAUAUAAGAAUCUGAAAAAGAAUGGAUGUGUGUAUAAGCAUAACUGAAAUUAUCAUAACAUUGUCAAUCAGCUAUACUUCAAUAAAACUUAAAAAAAAAAAGAUUGCAGUCCUAAAGAAGGCAGGGGGCAGGACAGGGUGAUAUUCUGGGCAAAGACUGGCAUGUAGGUGGCUUACUGGGAGUGCUUUGGGGAAUAGCACUGCCUGGAGUGAGGGAAGCAGGCCUGGGCAGAAGGCAAAGUUGUACUUGGAGGCAGUGGCACAGAGGUCCUAGCCUAUUCCACAGGGAGCUCUGGAGAGACAGUGGCCCUGCAAACAUGCCCUGCAUUGAGCAAAGGGGCUCAUCCUUUUCACCCGUGACAAUGACAAGUCAUCAGAUGCAGGCUGUUCCUAGGUAAAGGGUUGUAAUCUCGAGUGAUUAUCAAAAAGUAAUCCCUGGGGAGGGACUCAGCGGUGGGCCACCCACAGGCAACACACCUGGCACCUGGGAGAGUACAUGCCUUGGUCCUGAGGUGGGGUCAGGGCAGCAAAUGCACCAUCCACUGCCCCGUGGGAGCAGCCCCCAACACAAUUUAAUCUGCUUAAAUCCCUGCUACAGAGACGUAUGGGAAAGUUUCCUAUUGACUCCAUCUCAUUCCUUCAGAGGCGCAGUCCAAGUCCUGAGUCUGUGUGAUUCUUUUGAAAAGCUUGCUGAAAGCAGCUCAGGGACACUUUGAGCAAAGAGGCUGACAUAACCCUAAGUGCUUUGGUCUUGGACUGAGGUUUGAAAAUAAACCUCCCCAUGGAAUAUUUGGAAAGCCUUCUGAGAAAGCCCCUGAAUAAAUACAUAACCCCUUGCGCUAUUGGUUGGAAUUGUUUUGGCCUGGUUUUCUGGGACUUGUACUGUGCCCUGGCUGAUAAAUGAAGCCAUGUGCAAAGCACAGGGAGCCCAGGGCCAAAACUUGUCCCCACCAUCACACCACACCAGGCACUAGCCAGCUCUGGCUUCAUACUCUGAUGCAGCGGUUCUAGGGCAACACAGAGUUGAGGGUGAUUUCCAGCGAGCCUGCCCUCUGGAGAGACCCACUGUCAGAAGAAAAACCUUAAACAAGCCACAGGCCUUUGAUUCCAGCUUUUGUUGCGCUAAAUCCUGCUAAAAGGCCUUACAGCACUCAGCUGCUUGAGUACUGCCCAGAGCAUAAUUUAGUGACUUGGAACCAUCCAGGGGCUCAGAGGCAUCACUCUGAAUUGACUGUGGUGUCUGAAGGUCUGGGGUCUGGUCUUCUUUCUGACAUUUCUUAACAGUGUGACCUUGGGUAAGGCUCUGCCAUCUGAACCUGCUUUCCUUCUGUGUAGCACAGGUGGCACAACAUUGUCUCAAAGGUUCUGUCCUGUCCUGCUACUCAGGGACUCUGUCUCCUUCAUGGGCAUGGGGGUUGCAGAGAAUGACAGGCAUUUGUACAGAUGCUGGCACAUCCUAAAAUCUCAGAAUUUGGGAGUAAAUUCAUGCCAUCAGAUUUCUUUCAAAUGGAUGAAUACAUGAAUAUAUCAUGCUUCCUGGCACUGGCUGCUUUUGCUCAAAAUCAGCAGCUUGGGAUUCAUUUGCAUCACCAAAACAGACCCCGUUCAUCAGCCUGUG
rnacentral:lncRNA from 1 species